UCGGGUAUGGUGUACGGUGCACCUCUCCUUCAUGUAAAUAGCCUCCUCUCCCACGUGGAUGGAGAAAGCCGGGGUUCGACUCCCCGUGCCCGAA